CAGCCGCCGCGGGAAUACGUAGGGUGCAAGCGUUAAUCGGAAUUACUGGGCGUAAAGCGUGCGCAGGCGGUUAUAUAAGACAGAUGUGAAAUCCCCGGGCUCAACCUGGGAACUGCAUUUGUGACUGUAUAGCUAGAGUACGGCAGAGGGGGAUGGAAUUCAGCGUGUAGCAGUGAAAUGCGUAGAUAUGCGGAGGAACACCGAUGGCGAAGGCAAUCCCCUGGGCCUGUACUGACGCUCAUGCACGAAAGCGUGGGGAGCAAACAGGAUUAUAUACCCGUGUAGUCCCUGUCUCUUAUAC
rnacentral:rRNA from 1 species